rnacentral:rRNA from 1 species
UACGGAGGGUGCGAGCGUUGUCCGGAAUCAUUGGGCGUAAAGGGCGCGUAGGUGGCCCGGUCAGUUCGUGGUGAAAGCGCGGGGCUCAACCCUGCGUCGGCCAUGAAUACUGCCGCGGCUGGAGCACUGUAGAGGCAGGCGGAAUUCCGGGUGUAGCGGUGGAAUGCGUAGAGAUCCGGAAGAACACCGGUGGCGAAGGCGGCCUGCUGGGCUAUGGCUGACACUGAGGCGCGACAGCGUGGGGAGCAAACAGG